GUGCUCACUUCAGCAGCACGUAUGCUACAAUUGGAAAGAUGCAGAACUAUUUAGCACAACCCCUGUGCAAGAAUGACAUGCAAAUUCAUGAAGUAUUCCAUAUUUUA